rnacentral:rRNA from 1 species
UACGUAGGGUGCAAGCGUUGUCCGGAAUUAUUGGGCGUAAAGAGCUCGUCGGCGGUCUGUCGCGUCGGCUGUGAAAACCUGAGGCUCAACCUCAGGCCUGCAGUCGAUACGGGCAGACUAGAGUUCGGUAGGGGAGACUGGAAUUCCUGGUGUAGCGGUGAAAUGCGCAGAUAUCAGGAGGAACACCGGUGGCGAAGGCGGGUCUCUGGGCCGAUACUGACGCUGAGGAGCGAAAGCGUGGGGAGCGAACAGG